AAGGGAUUGACAAAGGGAUUGAUUUUGAAUUGACCCCUGGUACGGGAAAACAAAAAAAAAACUUGCAACUUUGUUAUGAAAAAAAAAAAAUAUGUAAAACCGGCACUUGAAUUUGGAAGAUGUUCUCCCCAUUAUCAACGACCGGGAAGUCACCAUUAAAGAUCUUGCAUGAAGGCAAUGAGCAGUGAAUCAGUCAAAGAUUUGACUUACCACUGCCAAAGACAUGUCGUAUGAUUUUACUUUAAAUGAGAUGAAAACUCAGCGAAAGAAUCAAGAAUUGGAUAUGUGAGCACAGAAAGCUCCUGAGGUGUUCUGUGUCUUCCACCAACAGUUCGGGUCUUUUUAUACUCAGCUUUUCGGCCAAACUACGCCCUUCUUACACGCAGCCGUCGUCACAACACCAAUCGCAAUCUUGACGGGGCGGUUUCCAAGUCUCAGUGUCUUCAACUAUUCCCGAGGCGAAUUCACUUUCCCUGGACUUCUUUAACCAUAGGUAUAGACUAGACUAGCUAGACUGAUUCUGCUGUUUUCCCCGUGAAGUGAUGUGCUUCCUGUGGAUGAACUUGGCGCAUUUUAAACGAAACUAAC